GUCUCUGGCCACACCGCCCUGCACACCCCCUGAGCUCCUCUGAUCUCGGAAGCAAAGCAGGCUUGGGCCUGGCUAGUACUUGGAUGGGAGGCAGUGUAGACAGGGACA
rnacentral:rRNA from 1 species